rnacentral:rRNA from 1 species
UGGAGAGUUUGAUCCUGGCUCAGAUUGAACGCUGGCGGCAUGCCUUACACAUGCAAGUCGAACGGCAGCACGGACUUCGGUCUGGUGGCGAGUGGCGAACGGGUGAGUAAUACAUCGGAACAUGUCCUGUAGUGGGGGAUAGCCCGGCGAAAGCCGGAUUAAUACCGCAUACGAUCUACGGAUGAAAGCGGGGGAUCUUCGGACCUCGCGCUAUAGGGUUGGCCGAUGGCUGAUUAGCUAGUUGGUAGGGUAAAAGCCUACCAAGGCGACGAUCAGUAGCUGGUCUGAGAGGACGACCAGCCACACUGGGACUGAGACACGGCCCAGACUCCUACGGGAGGCAGCAGUGGGGAAUUUUGGACAAUGGGCGAAAGCCUGAUCCAGCAAUGCCGCGUGUGUGAAGAAGGCCUUCGGGUUGUAAAGCACUUUUGUCCGGAAAGAAAUCCUGAGGGCUAAUAUCCUUCGGGGAUGACGGUACCGGAAGAAUAAGCACCGGCUAACUACGUGCCAGCAGCCGCGGUAAU